GGAGAGGUGGCCGAGCUGGCUGAAGGCGCUCGCCUGCUAAGUGAGUAACUGGGGAUAACCCGGUUCGAGAGUUCGAAUCUCUCCCUCUCCG
rnacentral:tRNA from 1 species